rnacentral:lncRNA from 1 species
UAUUAUGUCAAAUUUUUUCAUAAACAUAUUUCUAGUAUUUAUUUUUCCACAUUAAAAUAAAAAAUGUUCGACUUUUUCAUUCCAUACAUUUUGUUGGUGUCUGCAUACGCCCACUCCACACAAAUCAUUACACAUAUAAUUUUUUAUCAUUAUGACUUUUUAUUUUUCGUAUAUAUCUUGUUCUAUAGGAUAUUAACUACGAAAAAAAAACGACAACAAUUACAAUUAAUCACCCCGUAUUGUUUAUAUUAACAACUUAAGAGGUGUCCCAAAUUUUAUUCUCUUGUAACACGUCAGUUGUGUAACGCGAUAUUUCCUGGUCUUGUUUAUAAUCUACCAUAAAGAAUUAAUUUAUUUGAAGAGACAAUACUAGCUCAUCGUACUUGACACAUUCCUGAACAAUUCCGCCAUCUUUUUUUCGUGUUAGUUGGAAGAACGUGUUGGAGCAGACUGUUUGUCGUUAAGAAAAGGUUAGUUCGUGUUGUAAAUUACAUCCGUUGUGCGACAGAGUGACACAAAUUGUGCGACGUAUUACAACGGAAAUUAUAAAGGAAAGUGUAGAUUGUAAUAUUUUAGAACAAUUAAAUUUUUGAUCACUACA